GAGAGAGAGAGAGAGAGAGAGAGAGAGAGAGAGCACAAACACACAGGCACCAAUACCUGCUGAUCAACAUUUGAUGCUAAUUACAUUCAAGCGAAAGGGGGUUAGAGUACUUUCCUUACCCAAAAUUGUGAAGUGCAGUGGCAUUGUUAUGCCAAUUCAACUGAAAUGCAAUUAGUUUUACACAACGGCUAGAACAGAGCCUUGUUUAAAUUUAUGUUUCAAAUUGUCAAUGGUGGAACCUGAACCUUCACUACCUGCUCAAAAAUGCAACCACUGUGUCACACCCAAUAUAAGUCAGUGAGGCACAUGAUCCAGACACAGCAUAUAGCUGAGAAUUUCAGACAGACUGUUAUACUCAAGGUCAGUGCACGUGAUCCAUGGAAUGGUAGAAUAACAGAAUGUUAAAACCAUUCUGUUAUUUUGUUACAGCCAGUAUCAAAACUUUGCAAAUAUAACUUCAAUUUAGCAUGUGUUUUCAUUGAACAGCAAGAUAAAUAUUCUGCUUUCAUGCUAUCAGAAAGAACAUGAGUCAUUGGCACACAGCUCCUGUUAGCACAUGUCCAGAACUAACUUUAACACCACCCAUCGCUCAAUCUAUUAAAAAAAAAUUAGCCAUGAAGAACUAUUUUCUUGACAACUGGCCCAAAUUCCAGAAUUUAGCUUAUAUGAAACAGAGCCCGUCUUCCUCGUGCAGGAACAUCAGUCAAGUACACAGUGACCAAUCUUGGGCACACCCUGGUGUCUCUGAGCAUGCUCAGAAGUGUCUCCAAAUGAUCAUGUUUCACCAAGCAGAGAAGGUAGCAAGACGGCUAUCACCACCCAAAAAUUAGUUCCAUUGCGCCUUCAUCUAUUCCUUAAUUUAUGCCUUCCCUUCUUCUAAUGGAUAAACAGGUGUGUUAAACAUCUAUUGUUUAUUUAUUGCGACACAGUGCAGAAUAGGCCAUUCUUUCAAGGUGCACCGCAAAGCAAUCCAUCGAUUUAAUCCUAGCUUAAUCACGGGAAAAUUUACAAUGACCAACCAGCAAGUCUUUGGAGGAAACCAGAGCACCCAGAGGAAACCCAGGCAGUCACGGGGAGAACGUACAAACUCCUUACAGGAAGCAGCAGGUUCUCCCAGACUGUAAAGCAUUGUGCUAACCACUAUGCUACCAUGCCACCCAAUAUGAUUCUGUUUAAGGUAAAGGCUAAACCGGAUCCAUCCAACAGAGUUUGAAGUACCCUGGAAAAUUCGUCUAGCAUCCUCACCCCUUGAGCUCUACUAAGCAUCCCCUCACUGGAAUGCAAGAACCGCCACAUUGAGUUCAGUUUCAAUACCCCAGCAGAUGCACAAUACCUUAACGGCAUAGAAUCAGACUGGAUUUUUAUCUUUUAUAGGAAAUAUUUCACUGAGGUCUUGGAACCCAGCUGGGUAGACGUGAAGGCACAUGAGCAAACUGCUUAAUUCAUUACUUCCGCUCACUUGAAUAAGGUGAAGGAGGCAGAAGAGGGAGAGGAGAAAAGGUGUGGGAAGGGGGAAGGGAUGUGGAAAGACCAAAAUACAGGAAGUAAUGAACAUAUGAAGUGAAUGAAGGAAAGGGAGGGAAGGGAGUAAUAUUUAGGAGUAAAAGGGUCUUGCUUUACACAAAUUCACUCCAAAAACCUCCCCAAUAAAUUAGGGGGUUCAUUGCCGUUUUGUCACCGGUCAGUGGUGUGGUGGCAUCGGCACUGGACUUUGAGGUGAGUGGCCCCUUGCUUGAAUCCGGCCGGAUCCUUGCAUGCUUUCCAAUGUGCUGGGUUGAGCGUCAAGCUAGCAACUUGGCCUCUUAAAAAACAGAUAAACGCUAAAGAAACGGCAAAGCUGAAGCCCAAUGUGCCACAAGGCGCGGAGUGGAACAACAACAAUUGCCGUAUUGUAGGAAAUGCACCAGCUGAUUCGUACACAAAAUCCAGUUAUCAGCUUCAGUGACAUUGAUGGCGGUUUAAAUACUGGUAGAGGCACCAGAGAGAAGCAACUUUCUCAACCUCAAACAGCAUCAUAGACCUUUUCAGUCCGCUCGAGUGUGUAUCCACCCAGGCCUCGGUUUAACACUUCAUAUGAAAGAUGAAACCACCAACAUGCUAGAUACUGUACAUACACUUCUUCAGCACGACUUGGACCCAAAACACUCUGACUGUGUUGAAAAUAUCAGCGCUGAGCCUAGACUGAUGCCAACAACUCCAACCAGUGGUGCAAGAGUAAUUUUCAUGCUUGGCUUGCUUAGUGUACUGACUGAUGCAGCAUUCCUUAUGGGUUGAACAGACUUUGGACAAUUGCAAUGGUGUCCUCCACAGACAUGCAUUGCCCCCUUAAGGGCACUACUUGGGUACUCUCUCCGAGAGGCCAGCUAACUGGUACACUGUCAGUUUCUGACAUCAGGUGAAUUACUGAUGCAUAUUAGAAGAAACUGUGCUAAAUGCUAUUUGACAGAUUGUUUCACAUCUACAACAUGGGCCCCCAUGGCACUGCUGCAGAUUUAUUCAUGUCUCAAGGCUCUUAUCCACCUUUGUCUUUCAAUAAUAGCAUGAUAUGCCAGGUGCGUGGAACAACGCUGUAAUUUCACUUAAAAGGCAGAACAAUUAUCUCUCCAGUGAAGUACGACUGUGGGACUCAAGACCAGUUGAUCUCAAAAGACACAAGUGUGUCUUUAAAGUUUCUGCAUAAAACUGGACAUCCGAGCCUGGAUUUAUUGGAUGAAUGAUUAAGAAAUUGGAAAUAUUACAGACCAAGUACUUCACGUUCCAUGAGAAUUUCUUGUACAGUGCUUGCAUUAGAUAGUGUAAUAUAAUAGUGGGAUGAACAGGAGGUACAAGCAAUAAAAACAAUGUUAAUCACGUUCAGAUAACGAUACUUCAACCACACACUUCAUUCGCAAGCCUUGCACAAACGUUUUGACACACCACCAGGUUAAAUUUCACUUAGUUCACCCAACCCCACUCCAAGAGUAUAACCACCAAUCCUACACCCCCAUCCCUGAGCACAGCUUGCAACUCUCUUUCAGAAACAAUUUAAGUUCUAAGUCCUCCUUUGGUAAUUUUCCUGUGGUGGGCACAGUGCAAGAUUCCAGACCUCCACCUCUGCACAAUAAACCCUUGGAAUAUUGAAACUAUCGAUAUUACCAGCUACAUGAUAGCUGAAAUAGAGAUAAACUUCUAACCAUAUACCAAACAUGAGGAAAUCUGCAGAUGCUGGAAAUUCAAGCAACACACACAAAAUGCUGGUGGAAAGCAGCAGGCCAGGCAGCAUCUAUAGGAAGAAGUAUUAUAGUAAGGUUGGGAUUGGUGCGGAGGGAGCGGAGAGCAGAGCGUUCGGAAGGAGAGAGAUUGCAAUUGGAACACGGUGUGGUGAAGUCAAGACGGUUGAUGUCCUGUCAACAAUUAGCAAUAAAGAGAUCCAGAGCAGGCAAUAGACCAGAAGAUCCACUUCUCCCUAUAGAUGCUGUCUGUUCUGCUGCAUUCCAUCAGGAUUUUGUGUGUGUUGCUUAACCAUAUAGUUAAGAGAUUUAUCUCUAUAUCAGUAAUCACGUAACUGGUGAAGUACAAUGUCAGAGCAGGGUUCCAAAGUAUUAAAAACAUUUCCACUCACACUACUGCCCAGCAUCUCAAAACUCUUAUCCUUUCUCAGUCUUCUGAGCAGACUAAACUUAUCCCUAUCUUUUCCAUUCCCAACGGAAAUAAAGUGCUUUCCAUUAACCGGUAGAAUCCCAAUGCGCCAAAUCUAGAAUCAGAAUCAGGUUUAUUAUCACCGGCAUCUGUUGUGAAAUUUAUUAACUUAGCAGCAGCAGUUCAAUGCAAUACAUAAUAUAGAAGAAAAAAUAAUAAAUCAAUUACAGUAUACGUAUAUUGAAUAGAUUAAAAACCGUGCAAAAAGCAAAAAUAAUAUAUAUUUUAAAAAGUGAGAAACAUAGAAAAUAGGUGCAGGAGUAGGCCAUUCAGCCCUUCGAGCCUGCACCGCCAUUCAAUAUGAUCAUGGCUGAUCAUCCAACUCAGAACCCUGUACCUGCUUUCUCUCCAUACCCCUGAUCCCUUUAGCCACAAGGGACAUAUCUUAAAUAUAGCCAAUGAACCGGCCUCAACUGUUUCCUGUGGCAGAGAAGGUAGUGAGGUAGUGUCCACUGAUUCAACGUCCAUUUAGGGAUCGGAUGGCAGAAGAGAAGAACCUGUUCCUGAAUCUCAGUGUGUGCCUUCAGGCUUCUGCACCUCCUACUUGAUGGUAACAAUGAGAAGAGGGCGUGCCCUGGGUGCCACUCCAAUUCACUGCCACAACUCAGCAUCCCAAAUCUCCUAUCUUGCUAUGCCUUCCCAAUAGGCCAAAGCCCUCUCACCGACCUAAUGUCAAUGGAACAAGCCCAUCCUAUUCAUCAUACCAUCAUAUCACAACUCCCUCCUAUCCCUUCCAAACCCCUUCCCAUCAUUCCCAAAACAGGCAUCACAAAGGGCAGGGUUGGAUACCCAAUACAAUUCCCAUUCACUCCAAUUGAUUCAAGUUUCCUUUUCCCAAUCCAUUUCCAAGUGUAAAAUCCUGAUGAACCAAGCCAGUGCCACCAGAUUCACCUAAACACAGGUUUGGGGAACCAAGAAUUGAAGGGCACGGGUCAAGGAGAAAGUGAAGAGUUUUUAUAGGAACCUGAGCAGCAACUUUUCCCCAUGGCAUGAGAAGUGGUAGAAGCCAGUAGGUUAACAUUUAACAGGUACAUGAAUCAAAAUGGUUUUUCUUAAGGAUAUGAGCAAAUAAAACUAGUUUAUUUGGGACUGUUGAUCAGCAUGGACCAGUUGAGCUGAAGGGCAUACUUCAGCGUGACUAACAGAAUAAUUUCCCUUGCAUGAAAAGCGAAUGGCUCAUUCUGGCUAAAUUUACUGUGGUAACCAGGAUGAGAUGGGGACUCCUCUGUGUCACCAUUCCCACUUUCUGCCCAAUGACUACUGAAUAAUUUGAAUACAGAAAUAAGAUUCUGUCUUCAGCCUGUCCAACGUUGGAAACACAGCCUUCUGCCUCCUUAAGACUUUAGAGCUGCAUGGAUGAUUGAAGGCCCUUAGUUUACUAACAGGAGUGCUGCCCAAGUGAAUUCAAAUCUGUCAGAAUAAAUGGAAUCAGUGACGUAAUAGAUUCCAAAGGUUAGUGGGUUUUUUGCAGAAGAAACAGAGGUGGUGUCCCCUCCCCCACGCAAGUACAUUUACACAAUUGGUUGCUGUGAUUUGGGGCGCAGCCUAGAGAAAGCAGGUUCAAUGUCAAUUUUUAAAAGCGAACCAGAGAAUUUUAUAAAGUUAGAAUCUGCCAGGCCACAGAAAAAGUCAUGGGAAAAGUUUAAUAGGAGCUUUUAAUGAGCUGACACCGCCCUCCUUAGUGAUGCAGGGCUCCAUGUACAGGGUUAACUGUCAAGACAGCGGGCCCGAAUCAUCCUCGAUCAGCUCCGGGGUGAGGUUGCGAGAAUAAAACCGACACCUGGCUACAUCUGGUCACCGUCUCACCGGGAGCUCCAGUGAGAAGUCCCAUCUCUUGGAAACGGUGCCAAAUGUUCGACGGACGAAAAGAAACUUGGCCAAGCGGUGACAAUUUUCACGUGUUACUCAGAUCCAACUGCACUCCUUUAUAGGCAGCACCCUCUAAGACUGAGGAUGACUUGCUCCUCAACAACAGUUCUCAGGGCGAGAGGUUACUGAAGUUUCUUUUGAAGGAUCUCGGACUCAGACAGAACUUGGUAUCGGCGAUAUGAGAAGGGAAGUACAAUACUCAUUCCUUUUUUUACAUAGGACUCUGUACACUUGUGAAUGGCUGAGGUUCUCAGGGCCCUCCUGAAGAGUCAUGGGCUACAGAUUUCUGUCUGCAGAUGAGAAUGUUACAGAUUUUCAAAAAGGCUUGAAUCUUUCAGUCUAUUUGCAUUCCUGCCUUGAAGGAGCUUGCAGCAGGGUCUGUUUUGGGAGUUAGAUACUGAAAAAUGCAGCCUGUUCAUCAGAGUUGACUGAGCUUGACUAGAUCAAAGCUGGAGAAGUUGGAUUGAACCUUGGUCUGCUUAUCCUGCCUGAUUUUGCAAAGACGGUGUUGACAAUAUUCUGACAGUGAUGGGAUUGCUGGAAGUCAGUUGCAGCAGCCAUUGUUAUGUGGGGUCCUGCAUUGUGGGAUCCCACACACAGGCAUACACACAGGAGAAUGCAAGUGAGCCCACAGUAAAGGCGGUGGAGUCGGGAGAAGGGGGAGGAAGGGGCAGGUCGGCUCUAUUUAUCUAAUAUGCCUUUCCUGUUGCCCCGGAGGCCUUUGAGAUCAACAGCUCAUCUGAUGUGA